rnacentral:rRNA from 1 species
GAUGAACGCUAGCGGCAGGCCUAACACAUGCAAGUCGAGGGGUAGAGUUAGCUUGCUAACUUGAGACCGGCGCACGGGUGCGUAACGCGUAUGCAAUCUACCUUAUACAGAGGGAUAGCCCAGAGAAAUUUGGAUUAAUACCUCAUAGUAUUAUUGAAUGGCAUCACUUGAUAAUUAAAGUUCCAACGGUAUAAGAUGAGCAUGCGUCCCAUUAGUUAGUUGGUAAGGUAACGGCUUACCAAGACAAUGAUGGGUAGGGGUCCUGAGAGGGAGAUCCCCCACACUGGUACUGAGACACGGACCAGACUCCUACGGGAGGCAGCAGUGAGGAAUAUUGGUCAAUGGGCGCAAGCCCGAACCAGCCAUGCCGCGUGCAGGAUGACGGUCCUAUGGAUUGUAAACUGCUUUUAUACGGGAAGAAACACUCCUACGUGUAGGAACUUGACGGUACCGUAAGAAUAAGGAUCGGCUAACUCCGUGCCAGCAGCCGCAGUAAAAC